GGGGGGGGGGGGGGGGGGGGGGGGGGGGGGCGGGGCGGGGGGGGGCUUCGGGGCUGGUGGGGCGCGGGUGCGUCUCGCGGGGGUGCCUGCCCUUCGUUUCGGGAGCGCUCGCCGCUAGGGGUGCUCCUACCGGCUACUGUCUUCGGCCCACAGCUUUAUCGUCUUCUGAUGGGCCGGCUUCUGUUUAGCGAGUUGUUAGGUUAAAAUCAUACCAAGGCGACGAGCCAUAGCUGGUCUGAGAGGCUGAUCAGCCACAAGGGGACUGAGACACGGACAAGACUCCGAAGGGAGGCAGAAGUGGGGAAUAGUGGACAAUGGGCGAAAGCCUGAACCAGCAAUGCCGCGUGAGUGAGGAAGGCAUUAGGGUUGUAAAGCUCUUUUAACCGGGAUGAGAAUGACAGUACCGGGAGAAUAAGAUCCGGCUAACUCCGAG
rnacentral:rRNA from 1 species